rnacentral:rRNA from 1 species
AUUGAACGCUGGCGGCAGGCCUAACACAUGCAAGUCGAACGAGUGGCGGACGGGUGAGUAAUGUCUGGGAAACUGCCUGAUGGAGGGGGAUAACUACUGGAAACGGUAGCUAAUACCGCAUAACAUCAGAUGUGCCCAGAUGGGAGUAGCUAGUGGGUGGGGUAACGGCUCACCAAGGCGACGCUCCCUAGCUGGUCUGAGAGGAUGACCAGCCACACGGGAACUGCGAGACGGUCCAGACGCAGACGUGAGGCAGCAGUGGGGAAUAUUGCACAAUGGGCGCAAGCCUGAGGCAGCCAGGCCGCGUGUAUGAAGAAGGCCGUCGGGUUGUAAAGUACUUUCAGCGGGGAGGCGUUACCCGCAGAAGAAGCACCGGCUAACUCCGUGCCAGCAGCCGCGGUAAUUC